UGCGUAGGCGGACUAAUAAGUCAGUGGUAAAAUCUUUCGGCUCAACCGGGAAACUGCCAUUGAUACUGUUAGUCUUGAGUUCGGUUGAGGUAGGCGGAAUGUGUAAUGUAGCGGUGAAAUGCUUAGAUAUUACACAGAACACCAAUUGCGUAGGCAGCUUACUAGACCGACACUGACGCUGAGGCACGAAAGCGUGGGGAGCGAACAGGAUUAGAUACCCUGGUAGUCC
rnacentral:rRNA from 1 species